rnacentral:rRNA from 1 species
AUAUCAGUCAUGCAUAGCAUAUCAAUAAGCGGAGGAAAAGGGGCUAUUACCUACGCUUAGGAUGUUGAAGAUGUAGCACAUCAUGCACGCGUGACACACUGCAUAUCAAUAAGCGGAGGAAAAGAAACUAACAAGGAUUCCCUUAGUAACGGCGAGUGAAGCGGGAAGAGCUCAAAUUUGAAAUCUUCAAGGUUUUACCUUGACGAAUUGUAGUUUAAAGAAGUGUUUUCUGUUGAAGUUUUGGUAAAAGUUCUUUGGAAUAGGACAUCAUAGAGGGUGAGAAUCCCGUAUUUGACCAUUAUUUUCAGCUGUGUGAUACACUUUCAAAGGGUCGGAUUGUUUGGGAAUGCAGUCCAAAAUGGGUGGUAAAUUUCAUCUAAAGCUAAAUAUUGGCGAGAGACCGAUAGCGAACAAGUACCGUGAGGGAAAGAUGAAAAGAACUUUGAAAAGAGAGUUAAACAGUACGUGAAAUUGUCAAAAGGGAAGCGUUUGACACCAGUGUUGUUUUCUCGAAAAUCAAUUAAAAAAAGUUGGAUUUUGUGUUGUAUUGACCUUAACAGCUUUCUGCACUCUUUUCCUGCUUUUUUUAAUGCACUUUUCGUUUAACAAGUCAACAUCAGUUUCUUUUGUUGUAAAAGGGUCAUUGGAAGGUGGCUUUCUUUUCGGAGAAAGUGUUUAUAGCCUUUGAUCUCUGCAAUCGGAGAGACUGAGGUCUGCAGCGUAGAUCCUUCGGGGUUAGAUACAUUUGUGCUAAGUUAUAACUUUUCAUAGACAACUUGUUGACUAUGUUUUAGUCAUGUAGCUUACUCGCUUAUGCUAUUUUACCUACGCUUAGGAUGUUAAAGAUGUAGCACAUCAU